UACGUAGGGUGCGAGCGUUGUCCGGAAUUAUUGGGCGUAAAGAGCUCGUAGGCGGUCUGUCGCGUCGGUCGUGAAAACUUGGGGCUUAACCCUGAGCUUGCGGUCGAUACGGGCAUGACUGGAGUUCGGCAGGGGAGACUGGAAUUCCUGGUGUAGCGGUGAAAUGCGCAGAUAUCAGGAGGAACACCGGUGGCGAAGGCGGGUCUCUGGGCCUGUUCUGACGCUGAGGAGCGAAAGCGUGGGGAGCAAACAGG
rnacentral:rRNA from 1 species